CAGGUCGAAGGUGUAGCGUAUGAGAUGGGAAGAAAUGGGCUACAUUCUCUCCCACAGAGAAUACGGACGGUGUAAUGAAACAUACACCUGAAGGAGGAUUUAGCAGUAAGUAGAAAACAGAGCGUUCUGCUGAAACUGGCCCUGAAGCGCGCACACACCGCCCGUCACUCUCCCCAAAAAACUUCCACCAAAUAAUUAAACCAUUUACAUAAUAAAGGGGAGGCAAGUCGUAACAUGGUAAGUGUACCGGAAGGUGCACUUGGAAAAAU
rnacentral:rRNA from 1 species